CUCUCUCCAGCAAAUGAAAAAAAAAAAAAAAAAAAAAAAGAGAGAAGAAAAGAAAAGAGUAAGGGGAAGAGUCUAGAAUCAGGAAAAAGAGGGGAAGUGUGAAGAUUUGGCCAAGCCAUGGCCUAGACCUUGAACCCCAACAAAUUUUCGGUGGAAUUUCCCUCUUAUCAUUGUCCAUUUUCAUCUCUAGCAGCAUUUCCUCACCCUUAGUUGUCCACAACCAAUCGAUUUACUGAAAUCUACACCUGAAAACACUAAAAUUGAAGGAGAGAGUUGUGUGGCUGUCAUAUUUUCCCCUCCAAUUUCUAGUGCAGCCAACUCCACUCUCAUCACUAUAUGUACCAAUGAAACCUCUCUAGCCAUUAGUUCAAGUGAAAGAGAAAAGAGAGGGGAGAAAGUGGAGGAGUGCGAAAAUAGGGAGAGGGGAUAGGAAAAUUUCUGCAACAACACUCCGCCAAAGAUUUGGUUAAAUUCUCAACAAAAGGAAUCCAUCUAAGUCAAGGAAAGUGAAGGGGAAAUUCCAAAACUCAACUCGGCUUGGAUGAUUUCCGUAACCCAAUUCCAUCGGACAAUGAGUGGACCAUCUCAAGUGACAAGCUAAACCCACGAGGCCUUUUGUACUCAAAGGAAAAAUAUGCAUAUUUAAUUUACUUUUGAUAUGAGUAAUAAUCAAGCUCAUCAUCUAGAAAAUCUUUGAAAUAUACUAAAAUGAGUAUGCUAUUUUUAUUCUAUACUUCCAUUUAUUUAUUUAUUUAUUUCUUAUAGUGUUCUAGAUAAAUUUACUGUUGUAUUUCCCACUGUAAACAUUUAUAUUUUUUUUCUUGUCUUAAA